AACCUCUCUCUCUCCUCCUCACAGCCGUCCUCUUUAAUUUCUUCUCUCACCUCCCUCUUCCUUCUAUCUCCUCCCAACCGUUCUUCAUAAUAUUCAAUCUCUUCAUCAUUUCUCCCUUCUUAUCAUCAUUUCAUCCUUUCUAUUAUUGCCAAAGAUAAACUUAAUUACAUAGAUUCACCAAAAUUGUUACGAUAACUAUGGAAGAUACGACCUUUUAAGCAAAUAUGGAGCCAACCUCGAAGGAGCAAUCACCGAACUUGCAAAUGAAGAUCGGGUGAAUUCAUAAACUCAAGCUCAAAGAAGAAGAUAGAAGACCAAGAAAUUGAAGGAGAGUUUUUUAUUGGAAUUUUUUUGAUUCAAGAAGGAGAUUUUUUUUAUUUUAUUAGAAGAGCCAGAAAUUAAAGAGCAAGACAUAUCUAAAUUGGUUGAGCUUUUUUUUAUUCUUUAAUUUUCAUCAUCUGUAUUUGUAUUAACUUCUUAUGGGAUAUAAAAUUUUGAGUUUUAUUUCAA